UCGCAAGUAUAAUUUUGCAAUAAUUAUUACUUUUGAGGGAAGGUUUUUUUAGGGUUUGGCCACCGCUAAUCCAAACUUAAGCCAGGCACAGUAAACCUGCCCCUACAUUAUCUUUUCCUUAGAAAAGAUCAAUAUUCAACGCUACCCAUUAAACGUUAAAGUGUUGCAAUUUCUUCCAACUCAACGCGUGAUAACAACGUUGAAACAGGUAUCACGGGAUUUCUAAUUGCUUUGGAUUAAAUUCAUUAAAAUAUACGAGCACAGUUCACUCGUGGUACGUUUAUUAUAGUCACUUUGGACGAUAUCGUGGAGCGAGGUUUAAUUUGUUUGUCGACCUACUAAGAAUGUAAUAAUUUGGAUUUGGAUUUUAUGACAAACAAUGUGCAUCGGUUCAUGGAACGUUUCAUGGAACACGUCUCUUUUCAGUGUUUUUCGUCAUGCGUUCGUUAUUUACAACCUGUUGAAACGUCGACUUAUACCAUCGUCAUUGUCCCGAUCCCCUUAGCAGCCUGUCGCAUUAUCUAAAUACGAAACUCGCAAUAACUAAACAACGUGUUUGUCUGGGAUUUGGGUGCUCGUGAGGUAACGUAUUUGUCGGGGUAAUAUAUCACAUGCACAAGCAUCGUGCAUUUUUUAUUUUCCUUCUUUUUUUGUCGACCGUGACACCUUGCGGAUGAAGGUUUGUUUGUUUUGACGCGUGAAGAGAACUGAAUUCGUUAUUUCACGUUCUUCUUGAUAUUUUGGAAUAUAAAGACACAAAUUGGGGGGAUCUUCCUUUUUGGUACCUUUCAUCCCUUUUUUGGGGUCAUCUUCUUUAAAUAGAUUUGCAAAAAAAAUAAAAGGAUUUUCUAUCCACGUGUUUAGUCGAUCUUCAUUAUUUGAAAUCGGAGGUAAUUGUACUUUCAAUCAAUUAUAGAAAUUUCGAUGGGCAUCGAUAUUAUUAUCUUCAUUCCUAUCACGGUCAUCAGACUUACAAUUUAUACUGUCGAGAAAUCUGUUCUAUUGUAUCUAUCUCUGUGAGACCACGUGCCACUGAUCGUUUAAACGUUUCCCUCCUCAAUGUGCCGACAAUUGACGAGCAAAAAAGUAUUUCGUCGUAAUCGAACAUUUAACGCAGCCUGACAAUUGUCGAGGUUAAUCUACACCGGUCGAAACUAGUGUGGCUUACGUUCGAUUCAUUCGACAGAGCAAACAGGCUUAUCGAGAUCACGCAUCGAACAACAAGUAUCGACGUUUUCUCAGAUCUUCCUGACAAGUCUUCAAUUCGAACGAAACAUCUAGAAAGUUAGAUGGAGACCUUUUGUGUCAUUCGUUUAAGUUUUAGUGAUAGCUUAAGGCUAGACGAUCAUUGGGUCAGUCGUGACCUAGACCUACUAGCUUAGGGCAGUGAUGGGCAAUCGCGCCCUCGAUAUUGGAAAAUUUGAAAUUUAUAUAUUUUUAAAUGUCUAAUUUUCCAAAAUCCUAAAUUAUGUAAAUUUGAAAGUUGGAAAAUUUAGAAAUUUCCAAGUUUCCUAAUUUUCAAGUUUUAAAGCUCCCAAAUUUCCAACUUGGCAAUUUCAAGUUUCCCACUUCCCAUUUCCCCUUCCCCAUUUUCCAAGUUUCCCAGUUCCCAAUUCUCAAAUUUUCAAGUUUCCCGAUUUCCAAGUUUCCAAAUUUUUAUAUUUUCCACAUGCCUGUGCCACACCCUCUGCUGUCCCCAAAAUAUGUUGAGGUAUUUCAAGUCACGGGGCGUAUGAUUCGUGAUUACUUCAAUUCCCAAGCAAGCAAUCAUUUUAACAAUAAAAUGGUGUACUUAAUUUAUUUACCGUUUAUGGCACCGUUCUCAUGUAAGCUAAACAAUUUUUGCCGCAUAAUCACCGAUGAUUAACCAUAAGUCUGAUGAUACCAACAUUUUGGUUUAUUUACUUGCUAAUUUCUACUUAACGCGAAUGGAAACACGUUUCCUGGAGGCGUUUAUUGGAAAAAUAUUCCUAUCAAUUCAACGAGAUAGCUGAAACAUGUCGCGAUCUUUAUCCACGGUAAAAGAUAGACAAACUUUUUUAGUUCGAAGGAUAGAUAGUGAUUGCGAAAACAUUGUUAUUUAUGGUAAUACGAUAAUAAAUUGAGUUAGGUCUGAUAUCUUAGAUUAGUUGGAUUUAACAUAAAUAGGUCUGAAUGGUGGAUUUUACUUGAACUUUAAAGAAGUUUCAAUUAAGUUUGUAUCUAGGUACUUAUAAAGUUAUUUUUGCUAAAAAUCUUGGAUAUAACAUAAUUGAAUGAUCAAAAAAAGAACAUAUCAUUAAUUAAAUUUGUGAUGCUUGUUCUCAUAGCAUUCAAUAUAUAAAAAUUAAGAUAAUUUUUAAAUGAUUUGAAUAAUUAUUGGUGCAAAUUUGAAGAAUCCUUUGAUCAGUAAAAUUAUUAUCCAACUUUAAAAAGUGUAUUUAUAAAAUUCGUAGAAUUGUAGAACGUGAUUUAUCGAUUGAUCAAUCGUCUUAAUCUCUUUUAUUCUCAUGCAACAAGUAUCAACAUGAAGCAAAAAACAAUGAUUACAAAAAAUGUGUAUUUUAGUCAAUUUUCAAAUAAUCUUAAUUGUACACCGAUUGGCAAAUAUCGAAACACAAAGAAACUUCAUCAAAUUAUAGAUGAAUAAUUCUUGGAACUCUUUGAAAAUCCUUCGGAAACGUUUCCUUUUUCUCUGAACAAUUCAAUUUUUUCUUUCCAUACGAUUAUGUCAUCAUUGUAGGAAUUGUACGGAUAAUUAAAAUUCCUUAAAUGAAAAAAAAGAUUCAUAUAUUAUCGGAUCGCAUAUUAAUACAAUGUAAUAGAUUGAAAAACUUGAAAUUCACCAAGUUCGAGUUUACUUCUUGAUAUCUUGUCUACGAGUACAUAUAUGAUGAUCAAAACAAGUGGACCAUUAACAACAUUGUUGAGAGAUAAGGGCCACUUAGAAAAAAAAUGUUCCAUUAAGUGUUUGUUGCAUUCCUAAUGAUCGAUUCAUUGAUAAAUUUAUUAUUUACCUAUUUUCAAAAAUACACAAAAUACUUCUGUUUCUAUAUUUGAUCAAUUUUGAAAAUUAAAAAAUCCUUGCAUUCAUUAUAAAAAAAAUCUUCAAUUUUGUAAAACAUUUUUGAAAUCUUUUAUUUGCAAUAUAUUAAAAACAAAUUCGUGUAAUAUUGAUAAUUUUAUUUAGUAAUUUUGCAAAAGAGGUUUGGAUUUAAUCUGUAAUGUCCGACAAAUUUCAAUCAGUUACCUUAUCAGCCGCUUAUCAAAAUUCCAUCAAAAUCAGAGAAAAUCCCCGUGAUUCCUGUCUAAAGAUCAUAAAUCAUUCCCGGUUUUAAUUAUACCUCUAAAUACUUCGCGUUAGAGUGCAUUUCCCGCGUUUGUUUGGCAGCAGUACAACAUUUUCUACUCUCAGAAGUAUCUACAUUGUUGAUAGCACAUUACAUCCUUCCGUCUUCAUAAUGGCAACAAAAGUAAUCAGUCUCUAAAUAAUUCCAAAAUUUUUGAAAAUUAUAUCUUAUUAUUAGACACAAUACUGAUGUCUGCAACAUACGUAUUUGUAUUAUAACUUCGAUAGUGUAAUCGUCGUGAUAACGUGGGUCGUUAUAAAAAGAAGGGAUCCAGUCGGUGGAGGAUCGUUGAGCGUAAGCGAGGCGUCGGGACGAUGCACCGAGUAUGACACGGAACUAACACGGUGUAAAUCGCGAAUCGACAAACCGACGAGCCCGUGAUUUUCCUCAAGUUCGUAUAUCAUGCGCGCGCGUUCCACGAUCUUGGCACGCGAGCGACGCGAGCGGUGGAUUCGCGCCAAAUAUCCGAUCGCCAUCCCAAUAUUUCCGUCAUCGACGCGACGUUGAUACGUCAGCACGAUCGCGAUCGUGAGACGCCUCGAACACGCUUCUCGCGCAGCUUCCGCGAUACCGCUACACCGCACCGAUCGGAUCAGAUCUGCGAGGCCGAUCGAGAAAAGUCUACCGGACGACAGGGUAUUCCGGUUGACAUGGCCAUCGUCCAACUGCAAAACACUCUAUUUCGGCCUCUUUUCAAUGUCAACGACGCCAGAACGGCAGUCUCAUCAGCUGAACCAGACAUAUGGUGGACAGAGACACUUGUAGAAUUGAUAUUUGAUGAAUAAAUUCAAUUAGGAGUUUCA